rnacentral:rRNA from 1 species
UACGUAGGAUGCAAGCGUUUGUCCGGAAUUAUUGGGCGUAAAGAGCGCGCAGGCGGUAUGACAAGUCAGAUGUGAAAGAGGCCGGCUUAACCGGCAAGGGUCAUUUGAAACUGUCAGACUAGAGUGCAGCAGAGGAUAGUGGAAUUCCCGGUGUAGUGGUGAAAUGCGUAGAUAUCGGGAGGAACACCAGUGGCGAAGGCGAUUAUCUGGGCUGCAACUGACGCUGAGGCGCGAAGGCUAGGGUAGCAAACAGG